CACGCUAUGAGGACCUCGAGCAAAGUGACGUCAGAGUGCAAUACUUAUGGGAGGCACUGACGAACUUCACCAAUGAGGAUCGCAGCAGGUUUCUGAGGUUUGUAACUGGUCGAAGUCGUCUUCCUGCGCCUAUCUACGUCUUCCCUGACAAGCAAGGCUCUGAAACAACCGAUGCACUUCCACAGUCCUCCACAUGUUCCAGCACUCUUUAUUUACCCAACUACCCCAGUGCUAAAGUUUGUGAGGAGAAGCUGCGUUACGCCGCGUACAACUGUGUGGCCAUCGACACCGACAUGAGCCCCUGGGAGGAGUGAUCUCUCUGCUGCUUCGCUCAACAAUCACUUUACGAAUCACUGUUUAAUGGAGAGAAAUCUUGCCAAGUUUAUCACCAUAUCUACACAACUGCCAAUUAAUCCUCGCUGUAUAUAAUAAAGAAGUCUAUGGAAACAGGGAAA